GACGAACGCUGGCGGCGUGCUUAACACAUGCAAGUCGAACGGUGAAGCGCUUUCCUUUUUGGUUGGUGUGGAUGAGUGGCGAACGGGUGAGUAACACGUGAGUAACCUGCCCCCUUCUUCUGGAUAACCGCAUGAAAGUGUGGCUAAUACGGGAUAUUCUGCGCCUGCUGCAUGGUGGGUGUGGGAAAGAUUGUGCCUUUGGGUGUUUUCGGUGGGGGAUGGGCUCGCGGCCUAUCAGCUUGUUGGUGGGGUGAUGGCCUACCAAGGCGGUGACGGGUAGCCGGCCUGAGAGGGUGGACGGUCACACUGGGACUGAGACACGGCCCAGACUCCUACGGGAGGCAGCAGUGGGGAAGAGUGCACAAUGGGCGCAAGCCUGAUGCAGCGACGCCGCGUGAGGGAGGGAGGCCUUCGGGUUGUGAACCUCUUUCGCCAGUGAAGCAGGCCUGCUCCUUGUGGGUGGGUUGACGGUAGCUGGAUAAGAAGCGCCGGCUAACUACGUG
rnacentral:rRNA from 1 species